rfam:Camelus ferus unplaced genomic scaffold scaffold1340, whole genome shotgun sequence.
GAGGGUGUAGCUCAGUGGUAUGGUGUGUGCUUAGCGAGCACAAGGUGCUGGGUUCAAUCCCCAGUGCCUCCA